AGGUAAUGCCUGCUGUACCUCUAUCACUGCAGGCACUCGGUCACACUGUGGGUCAGUGUACCUUAGACGUUCAUCGUCGAGGGUGUGAUGUGAGGUGGGGUUUAAUGCCCU
rfam:Paenibacillus sp. TCA20 DNA, contig: PspTCA2nb06.